rnacentral:tRNA from 1 species
GCGAGCAUAGCUCAGCGGUAGAGCACAUGCCUAGCAUGCAGGAGGUCCUAGGUUCAAUCCCCGGUACCUCCA